AACAAUAAGCUUCAAUCAACUCCCCGAGCCAGCUGAGUCCGGUCUGGGUGACUUCCAAAGCGUGCGGAGGCAGGGCGCACCCGAGCCGCCGCCGCCUGUCAGCGCCGAGGAGCCCCUGCAGCCCGGGGCCCGCAACUGCGCCACUGCCGGCGGCAGCUGCCCUCUCCUCACCGCCUGCGCUGCUUCCUUCCGCGGGCUGCGCCGUACUGCUGUCUGGAAGGUGGCUGCAGGCUUGCAGCUGUGGCUCUUUGGCAGCUGGCAGAACUCUCAUCAGUGAUUCAAGCACCAGAAUACCUUCCUUGGUUGCCAUCCUAUUGCAAAGUCAGGUGCAAGAAAGGGCAGCGGAGAAACAGAUCAGUGGCCAAUGGACAGAUGAGACAGCACUUUUCCACUGUAAGGUAACAAAAUCGUGCCCCUCACCUAACCCUUCUCAUCCAGAGCAGGUGUUCACAUGCCAGUUCUGUCACCUUUGAACUUAAUGAAGCUUUGCGUGUCAAGUAUGUCAUAGCAGAAGACCAACACUUUGGUAUGACCUUGCAACUGAAGUAACAUGCAAAAGCUGUUCCUAAGAAACACCACUCAUUCACCCAAGUGAAAUUCUGAUUUGCUAGCUGCAGCCUGGCAACAUAAUGUAUUCACAAGACCUAAGGAUAAACAUGAAUUGAGGCUUCUGGAAAAGGAUGUUAUUUGUUCCUUGCUCAGCUUACUAGCUCUCUAACCACAAUCUGCAAAUACCUCUGUAAAAUGGCAGAUUGCUGUGCUUCAACUCUUUCACCAGGGCUGCAGAAAAGAACCUGAGCUAAAUUAAGUUUUCUCUUUCACCAGGGCUGUGGGUUGCUUGGUUUUGUUUUCUUGAAAUUGUUUCUUGCACCUUAAGUAUUUCAGUAUAAAACUGUGCUACA